AGCCCUGAGCACUGGCCAUCUGUGAGGCCUAACAAACUUGGUAAUAGCUGGUUGCUCAAUAAAAGAAUAUAAGUGCAACCUUAAACCUUCUAAAAACAACUUAAAGUUAACAAAAGAAAAGUUUAAGAUAUAUUCAAUUGGGGUACAGCCCAAUUGAAAAAGGAUACAACUUAAAAUGGAGGACAAGACGCCAAAACAUUCUCUACCUGUAAGCC